GAUGAACGCUGGCGGCGUGCCUAAUACAUGCAAGUCGAGCGAACGGACGAGAAGCUUGCUUCUCUGAUGUUAGCGGCGGACGGGUGAGUAACACGUGGAUAACCUACCUAUAAGACUGGGAUAACUUCGGGAAACCGGAGCUAAUCCCGGAUAAUAUUUUGAACCGCAUGGUUCAAAAGUGAAAGACGGUCUUGCUGUCACUUAUAGAUGGAUCCGCGCUGCAUUAGCUAGUUGGUAAGGUAACGGCUUACCAAGGCAACGAUGCAUAGCCGACCUGAGAGGGGGAUAGGCCACACUGGAACUGAGACACGGUCCAGACGCCUACGGGAGGCAGCAGUAGGGAAUCGUCCGCAGUGGGCGAAAGCCUUGCGGAGCAGCGCCGCGUGAGUGAUGAAGGUCUUCGGAUCGUAAAACUCGGUUAUUAGGGAAGAACAUAUGUGUAAGUAACUGUGCACAUCUUGACGGUACCUAAUCAGAAAGCCACGGCUAACUACGUG
rnacentral:rRNA from 1 species